CAAAGUGCUGGGAUUACAGGCGUGAGCCAUCAUGCCUGGCCUCCAAUAUGCUUCUUACAACUCUCAUCAGUAUCAUUUGAAACAUGCUUAAAAGCCUCCGCUAUGACUGGUGCAAAUCUUUUGUAAGCUCCGGCCCCUUCCUUUUGCUUUGUAUUUUAGUAGAGGCAAGGUUUCACCAUGUUGCCCAGGUGGUCUCACUGGCAAGGUGAGAAAAGUAAGUCUCCUGUUUGGCUUUGCUCUCUGCAGCUCCAGCUACCACGCAGUGACCAUGGGCCUGGGUGCUUGCUGUGGUGAAUGAGCCAUAGGGACCAGGUCUACAUGCUCUGCUGUCUCCUUCCGAACCCUGUGCUGUCAUCAGGACUGGGUGCUCUCUCUCUAAGGAUGCGUUGUGGCUUGUGUGCUGGAGUCCCAUUUCCUGUGUGGCUGUUAGCACGUGAAGAGAUGGUAGUGAUGUUCACCGUGAUAAUGGUGCUGCUUUAUUGUGGAAGCUUUCAGCGGAAGUCACUCCCAUGGAAUCCAAGUAAUGUGGCAUCUGAAGUUCCCUCCAAGUGCAUGCAAAGACACAGGUGGGUUUUCCUAGAGGAGGAGUCAAGUCUUUUAUUAAACCCUCAAAGGAAUUCAUGACUCCAAAAAAGAUGAAGGGCCUAUGAAAUAUUUCUUCAGCUUUAUGCUCUUGGAGGAAACUGGCAAUCCAAGUUUGUAAAGAGCAAUAUGACAAAACCUGUAUUUCCUGAUUAACAGCCAAGUGUUAUUAGACUAUGAUGAAUAAGACAUAUUAAAAGUAAUCAUAACCUGAUAAACUGGGUAGCUACACAUGCUACUUGAAAUUUGCUGUCUUGGACACAGAGCUAAAGUAAAA